rnacentral:lncRNA from 1 species
AGGUUAUUAUGGUCAGCUCACGCUAUGUCCUUUAUUCAGUGGGAUCUCAAACUGGAGGAGUGAGGAGGCGUCCUGGGAUCUGAACAUCUUAGGAAAAUCUAACUUAAUCAGGAACCUUUCUAAGUGCUUCCCAUUCAGCCUAGCCUUUUUUUUUUUCCUUCUUCAUCUUAAUCUUAUUUAAAAGACUCAACUCUCUUUAGACUGGUGAGGAUGGUAGUUCAAGCCAAGAGAGAGUGGGUGGGAAUUCAAAAACCUUCAGUUGCAACCAGAAUGCAAAUGCUAUUCUCACAUAAUUGGAACCUGAUUGAACUGCCCAAAUUUCAACCAUCCUUGAGCAAAAACAAAAAAAAUCUGAACCACAGCCAGGGAGAUUCCAUGAAUUAUAAGCAGAGACAAAUUAUUUCUCCAUCCCUUCAAGGUGUACUGUGUCCAAAUGUGUAGCCUAGAAAAUAAUAAUUAAAUGUUGUUUUUGGAUCCACACUGAUGAGGUUUAAAGUUCCUAUCAUGAAGAAAAAGAUCACUCAUAUAAAAAGACACUAAAUCAAAUUGUCUUUCAUCUGAAAAUUUCCUUCACAUUUUAUUGACGUCUAUAUUCUUUCUUGAAACCCCUAGCCUGGGAACUUCUGUAUGCCCUGGGUGCAGCCCUAAUAAGACAAAAAUACCAAAAAAAAAAAAAAAGAAUCAUUGUUUAUACACCUGUAAUGUGGCUAAAAUCCAACUGUAAUACCUUUUUUUUUUUUUGCUGCUACCUGUUUUUAAUAGACAUUUAUUUACACACGUUUUUAGACUCAUCGUGUUAACUCUGUAAGCACCCUAAACAUAGGAGAGCCCGCACCCUCUACCCUGCUCCCAGAAUGCUCACAAACUAGGAGGGCUUGGCAGCUGGAGCGAUGACGAUGACAGGGACAUGUCCUGCCUCCCACCUAUGCUUUAACAUUUGCUGCAAGUUUAGUUUCUGCACUGUCUCCAACUGACAGAAAGAUGCUAAGCAUUGUGUCUCCUGCCAGCUAGAAGGGGUCGCCUCUGGGAAAAGUGAGGUGAGCUGUAACUAAUAAAAACUGACCCACAGAAGUAGUUGCCCGGUCCAACGCCACAUUGCAACGAAUCCACGUCCAAGCAGACACACAUGCCCUGGGAACAGGGUUCUAAAUCUCCAACAGUGUGGCCUGACACCCAGAGAAAGAGGACAGGGACAGACAGUGAAUCACACCUGCUGGACAUUAUCAGAUUUGUAUGUGUCAUUGCUGAUGCCAUCUCUGUUUCGCCACGCAGCACUGACUGUCACCUGCUGCUAAAUCCCAUCAUGGGUUUUUCCAUUUUGCAGAAGUAGCUUCUGCAAGCUGGCCAAGAUGCCUAUCACCAUGCCAAGUCAUGCUCUUUGGUCUUCUACUCACUGCUAACCCACGUGCUGCUGAUUCUAUCAAUAAAGAGCUGAUUAUGAACAGAGGUGAGCCCUCAAAGAGGUCCCAAAGCCAUUCCCCGGUUCUGGACCUAGAGGAGGAGCGCUAAAUGGCCGUAUUUACAAGGCCGUCUCCCACGGAGUGUCCCUGGUGGAGGCGAAGGUAGCUGAGGUGACCAGGUCUGUCCCAGGUCAGAACCCCACCUUGUCCAGAACCUGUCUGCCUCUCCCGGGUCCCAGCAGGGUCACUGUAUUUCCACCCUCUCUUCUGAGUCUGGAGCCAACGAGACAUCAUGACUGAAGUUGGCCAGAAGAAGAAAAACUUGAAUCGUCCUCUCUUUACCCAUCAGUUCAGGAAGAACAGGCAGCUCCUUGUCCACCCUUUAGGCAGUGAGAUGCAAAAUACUGGAAAGUGGGCACGGCAUCCUCGUCAGCAGUCCAAGGUAGGCACAGAGUCAAGAAAACUGAGAUUGGAAAAAGACGCUUUCCACAAGCCUGGUCUCCCACAAAGGGGACAUGAGAACUUAACUGGCAAGUCAGGAGCAUCAGGCACGUACGUGCUUCUGACUUAAGGAGACGGUAAAGGCUCUGAUGACCCUGGCGGGCUGUUCUUUAUGGAUGAAGGAAAUAGCCAGAGUGGACUGAGAAGGAAGGAGAGACGGAAGGUAGCUGUCGUUUUAGGACCAGAAAACCAGAGCUUAUGACCGUGGAGAGCUUUUGCGUCUCUUCUUUUCCAGGACAGUCCAAGUGAACUCAGCACUGAGGUCAAGCAGCUGAUGGGCUGAUGCGGGGUGCUUUUGGAUUGUGGUCCUAUUUACUCCACACACGUAUUUAUUCUUUUAUUCGGAUGAUGAUGAUUAUUAAUGUGUAGCUGACGUACAAUGUUGCACAUAUGUAUCUUUAACAAGGGUCUUCUAACGAUUCAGUUUCUUCAGGCUGGGAACUUCAUGCACUAGCAGGCCAGUGGAAAAAAUAUUCUGAAGCAGCUGGACCUCUUGAAAAGACUCAGUUUAAAUGGAAUCAGAAAAAUGCAAAUACGUCAUCUCACGUGACCAUGGUAAUAGCAUCUGAUUUAACACGCUCAGUCCAGCCCUUCUGGGCCUCGUUCUCAUCAAGUGAAAUUCUAAGGGAGCUAUUUUGGUUGUGCUUGGGAAAGUUUCCUUUGAGUUACAAGUAGGAUGAGAAUCUAUCUAGUCCUGUGGCUGAAAUAGGAAGAUACCACCCCAGCCCCUCUCCCUGCCUCCCUCCCUCGCUCCCUCCCUCUCCAUUUGAGAAAAGUGACUCUGGGAAGAAGAACAUGGGACCUUAGAAGCUAUUUAAGACACGAAGAACAUCUCACAGCCCACCAGCUCUCAAUUUAGAGCUCAAACAAAUGACAAUCAUUCAUCUAUAAAUACACCAGCUUUUUCCUCCGUAUUAGAAGAAACUCUUUUUUCUCACACCGUGGACAUGUCUAUGCUAUUCCUUCCUGCAUACACCUUUGGACAAGUUUAGUCUGUUCCCGAAGAAAGUUCUGGAAGAGGACACACCCUGCAUGGUGACAGACUCAGUGAAGGAAAGCCAUUGUUCACCUUCCUUCAUCUCCAUGUCACCACCUCCCCCCUGGGGCUCAAAUACUGGGGAAGCAGCUAAACUAGCUGGUGAGUCUCUGAUUUUAGAAACAUGCUUUCUCUUACAACUUGUACAAAUGCUGCUAAAACAUCAACAUCAGACGUCUGGAGAGAAAAACACCACCCACAGUCUUGCCACUCUAACACAUCCCUUGUUGUAAUUAAAGCACACGCAAGUCCGAUCUUAUUCUUGUCCAUCUACGUGCCUAACGUGUAAACAGUUCAAUGACAGUGUAAUGUGUAGUACAACCUGAUCCUUUUCUUAAGGAAAUUUUUUUUUUAAUUUGAUUUGGCCUCUUGCAGUAAUGGAAAUGCAUUUGAAAAACUCUGAAAGAUCUACCAAAUCCAGGAACCGUCAUUUAAUAUUCCCUAGAAAGAUUCCUGUACCCAAACAUCAGGAAAGGACAGAAUUUUGUACUCUGUCUUUUAAAGAAAGAGUUUUAAGAUUACAGAAAUCAUUUCAGUGUUAACAGCAAAGUCUGGAGUACUGCUUUUGUGACGGAACAUCCAUUCCAUUUCAAAUGAUUGCUGUGGAGUUCCCAUCGUGGCUCAGUGGAAAUGAAUCUAUCAGCCAUGAGGAGGCAGGUUCGAUCCCUAGCCUCGCUCAGUGGGUUAAGGAUACAACGUUGCUGUGAGCUGUGGUGUAGGUCACAGACGGGGCUCGGAUCGGGCGUUGCCAUGGCUGUGGUGUAGGCCAGCAGCUGCAGCUCCAAUUCAACCCCUAGCCUGGGAAUCUCCAUAUGCCCGGGUGUGGCCCUUAAAACACAAAAUAAAAUAAAAUAUAAAUAAAAAAAAUAAAACGAUUUCCUUGUCACAUAGGCAUGUGUGCAGUUUUGAGCACAUGUUCUAUCAUUCUAAAAAUUGAGGAUGCUACUUCCCUCUGGAUAAAUUUAAACUGGCCAUUGGUGCAUCAGUGGAUUGCAAGAGGGUCACAGAUCUUCUAAGCUACAGAUAACUGGGUCAAACACAGCCCAGAGAGAAGCCCGUAGGUAAGUGUUCCCAGCUGCUGGCUGGCAGCCUGUGGUGGCCUUCAGGUCACCUCUCCCUUCACGAAUUCAUGACAUCCGAGACCUCUGCCCAUGCACCUGAUCCCAGAGAAGCGGAUUGUGGACAAGUGCUCGUUCUCACUCUCUUUUUUAAAUUUUAUUGGAGUAUAUACUUGACUGACAGCAUCGCAUUAGUUUCAGGUGCACAGCAAAGUGAGUCAGAUAUAUAGGAAAAAAUGGAUAUAUAUAUGUGUGUGUGUGUGUGUGUGUGUGUGUGUAUACAUAUAUACAUAUAUCUCCAUUCUUUUGCCCAUACAGGUUAUCACCGAAAACAAGAGACAAGUGUUCAUUCCCUCUCUUUUUUUAAAUUUUGUUGGAGUAGAAUUGAUUUAAAAUAUUCUAUUAGUUUGAGGUACACAGCAAAAUAACAGCAAAGUAAAUCAGUUAUAUAUUUAAUGUGUGUGUGUGUAUCAGUUCUUUUUCCCACCUGGCUUACUACAGGGGACACGUCUUCAUGCCUGACCCCACGUCAUCUCUGUACGUCACGUCUUGCUACCCGUGCUCUGAUUUUCCACUGGGCCACCAAUUCCUUCCAUGGUCUUAACGAUGUGGUUCGGGAGGCUUGAGCACACCUCUGAUUUCCAGGCGUAUAAUUUAAAUGCCCUCUAUGAUGGAUCUUGUGAUACCAAUUGUGAUGACCAGUGCCCAAACGGGCAGGGUGCCCAGGUCAGGGCACUGAGAGAAAACAAAUGUCCAAAUGCCUCCAUCAGCCAUGAGCUCUAGGAGAUGCUCGUCCUUCCCAGGCUGGGUGGGCUGGAGGCGGUGAGGCAAGUGCCGGGCAUGUGACUGCUCCUCUAACUCCAGGUAGAGCUGGACCUAAGUGGCCACCACCUGGAAGCCCUGGUUUCAGCCAGCAAUGGAAGGGACACAGCCACAGAGACAUGGCCUGCAUCACAUGGUUAAGGAGGCUUCUUGGUAGGGUCUGGCCUGAUGUGAGAGAGAUUGCUAGAGUUUUGGUUUUUCUUUCUUUUUUUUUCCCAGUAGAUUGUCUUUAUUGUCCAAUACAGGGACCACCAGCCUCACACGUAUACCAAACACCUGUACAUUGCAGAUGUGCAUUAAGUGUGACAUUCACACUGGAUUCUAGACACAGUACGUCAAACACUUUUAAUGUGCCUACACAUGGAAAUGAUAAUAUUUUAGAUACACUGGAUCAAAAAAAAUGUGCUAUCAGAAUUGCUUUCACCUCGUUCUUAUGGAACAUGCAAAAUUGCAUUAAGUGACUUGCAUGUGGGGCUUU